rnacentral:rRNA from 1 species
UACGUAGGGUGCAAGCGUUGUCCGGAAUUAUUGGGCGUAAAGAGCUCGUAGGCGGUUUGUCGCGUCGAAUGUGAAAUCCCGGGGCUCAACCCCGGGCCUGCAUUCGAUACGGGCAGACUAGAGUUCGGUAGGGGAGUCUGGAAUUCCUGGUGUAGCGGUGAAAUGCGCAGAUAUCAGGAGGAACACCGGUGGCGAAAGCGCUCUACUGGGCCUGCACUGACACUGAGGGACGAAAGCUAGGGGAGCGAAAGGG